GAUGAACGCUGGCGGCGUGCCUAAUACAUGCAAGUCGAGCGAACAGACGAGGAGCUUGCUCCUCUGACGUUAGCGGCGGACGGGUGAGUAACACGUGGAUAACCUACCUAUAAGACUGGGAUAACUUCGGGAAACCGGAGCUAAUACCGGAUAAUAUAUUGAACCGCAUUGUUCAAUAGUGAAAGACGGUUUUGCUUUCACUUAUAGAUUGAUCCGCGCCGCAUUAGCUAGUUGGUUAGGUAACGGCUUACCAAGGCAACGAUGCGUAGCCGACCUGAAAGGGAGAUCGGACACACGGGAAGAGAGGCACAGUCCAGACUCCGGCGGUAGGAAGCAGUAGAGAAUCUUACGCAAGGGGCGAAAGCGUAACAGAGGAAAGCCGCGGGAGGGAUGAAGGUCUACGGAUGGGAGAACUAUGUUAUUAGGGAAGAUGAAAUGUGUAAGUAACUAUGAAGAUCUUGACGGUACCGAGUCAGAAAGCCACGGCUAACUACGUG
rnacentral:rRNA from 1 species